rnacentral:rRNA from 1 species
GAUGAACGCUGGCGGCGUGCCUAACACAUGCAAGUCGAACGGCAACACACUGCUUUCUUGCUCUGCCCGAUUGCCGAUGGCGUGCGUAUCAGGAGUGCAACCUGAUCUAGUUUUUCGGGUAAGUUCACGAAACUAAGCUUACUCUCGUACCGCAGACCCCCUACCAUUGAGGGCGUUGGAUAGUCUCGGCGGUUGCGGAUGGACUCGCGGCUUAUGAGCUAGUUGGUUGGCUAGUGGCAUACCAAGGCAUUGACGGGUCGCCGGCCUGAGAGGGUGACUGGCCACAUGGGGACUGAGAUACGGCCCAGACUCCUACGGGAGGCAGCAGUGGGGAAUAUUGCACAGUGGGCGGAAGCCGGAUGCAGCAGCGCCGCGUGCGGGAUGACGGCCUUCGGGUUGUAAACCGCUUUCGCCUGUGACGAAGCGUGAGUGACGGUAAUGGGUAAAGAAGCACCGGCUAACUACGUG